UCCAAAUUCUGCAACUCUGUGGGAGAGAGUAGUGUUUCUGAUUCUUUCUUUUGUAGUGAGUUCUUUCUAGUCAUUUUGCUCAGUGCAGAGUGGCUAAAAACAAGUUGUACUGGAAAAAGGAAGGAAAAAAAAGGGAAAAAAGAAAAAAAUCCCAAAGAACAAAAAAACCAAAACGAAAACCAAAAACAAGGCGAGUUAUCCUCUGGUUCUAUAUACCUCGACUUCCCUUGGAACUUCCGGUGCUGCUUGGUCAAGAACUUGCUUUUCCCCUGUCCUUCCAGCUGUUCUUCUGGGGGCGGGGCCUGCUGUGCUGAUUCUCCGGUGUGUGCACCUCGGGGAGCUGCCCCACCCCCGCGCCGGAGGGGCUCAGUGGGAGCUGUUUAUCCUGUGAGGCCCCUGCUCCCUGGCGGCCCCGCCCCUUCCAGGCACAGGGUGACACCAGGAGAAACAACAGUGGCGGUGGCCAGCUCUCCAGCCCUAGAAUCAGCUCCCACAGUAACCACCGCAGCUCCAAGUCCACAGGGGCCUGAUGCUCUGGGGGCGGGAGGCGCUGAUCAGCAUAGCCUGGGGGCGCCGGGAGGCAAGAGCGUCCUUGCUGUCCUCUAUCCCGGCCUCUGCCUGUCGGGGGUGGGGGAGCUCCGGAUCCUGGGCUGUGUCCCCCAGCGCCCUGGGCUCCCGGGCCUGCGCGCUGCUGGAAUCGCGCUCCCAGGGCGCGCAGCCCCUCGGUGUGACCUGCCUCCUGAGCCGCCCCCGGAGCUGCUCCUGGGCCCCGCUGGGCGCGCGCUGCAGCCCUUUUCCGCGCUUGGCCCGCGGUGUGUGGUGCGCUCUCCCCGGGGCGCAGGUGCUCUGUUAGUGCCCCUGGGAGCUGGAGGGUAUCCCCGCCCCUCCUGGGACCCUGCCCGAGCUCCCAGAGAGCACCUUUCCCUUUGGGAAAAUAGUAAAUCUCCUGCUUCUCCAGGACGGGGCUUUCCUAUCCUGGGGGCACUCGCUGCGGGGCCUUAG
rnacentral:lncRNA from 1 species